rnacentral:lncRNA from 1 species
GGACGUGUAAAGUAUCCAUCGGUGGUUUAAGCGAGAGAAAUGUGUUUUUCGGUGCAAAAUGGCGGAAAACCGUUGACAUGUGUAAAUGAAAUUUUAAAUUUCAUCAAAGUCUUUCCAAAUGAAAACAGCUAAGUCGAGAUCGUAUGAAAUCCCGGACGAUAUCUCUCCAAGUAGUAGCAGAAUAAGGAGUAGCGAAAGGGCCACAAAAGAUCCUAUUUCCAGUGCAACGGUCAGAAACCACAAAUUCGAUGAGAGAAAGGCGAGAAAGGCAAAAGCACGGAACUGUGAGAAGUUUAUCCGAACAGCCGAGGGGAGUACAAUCCGUCCUUUACCACUAUAAAAAUACUCAAAUCAGUGCGGUUAGGAAUUC